GAGGGUAUAGCUCAGUGGUAGAGCCUGUGCUUCACAUGCGCAAGGUCCUGGGUUCAAACCCCAGUACCUCCA
rnacentral:tRNA from 1 species